rnacentral:rRNA from 1 species
AUUGAACGCUGGCGGGAUGCUUUACACAUGCAAGUCGAACGGCAGCGCGGACUUCGGUCUGGCGGCGAGUGGCGAACGGGUGAGUAAUGUAUCGGAACGUGCCCAGUAGCGGGGGAUAACUACGCGAAAGCGUAGCUAAUACCGCAUACGCCCUACGGGGGAAAGCAGGGGAUCGUAAGACCUUGCACUUUUGGAGCGGCCGAUAUCGGAUUAGCUAGUUGGUGAGGUAACGGCUCACCAAGGCGACGAUCCGUAGCUGGUUUGAGAGGACGACCAGCCACACUGGGACUGAGACACGGCCCAGACUCCUACGGGAGGCAGCAGUGGGGAAUUUUGGACAAUGGGGGCAACCCUGAUCCAGCCAUCCCGCGUGUGCGAUGAAGGCCUUCGGGUUGUAAAGCACUUUUGGCAGGAAAGAAACGUCGCGGGCUAAUACCCCGUGGAACUGACGGUACCUGCAGAAUAAGCACCGGCUAACUACGUG